ensembl:lncRNA
CUUAAUCACGUGAAGCCUCUGGGGGUUACAUUUGUAAGUGUUUAAUUGUGCAAAUUGCCACCUUGUGUGUCUCCUCCUUGACUGCCUGCAUGUUUUCCAUUAGAGAAUGCAAAGCAGACUUCUAGGUGCUUAACUCCUGUUCCCCUAGAAGUGUCAGACCAAAGUAAAGGAACACAUUGAUAAGACAUGAGCUGAUCCACCAACUGAGCCCUUGGAAUAGAACAUUUAAAUGAUUACAAAAUAUGAAUUUUAAAUAGAUGGAAUUGAAAAUGGUCCCGUUGGGAUAGAAAUCAAUUUGGUAGCCUCAUGUAUGAGAAAUCAGGUAGCCAGAAGAAAUGACAUCGUUCCUUUUCAUGACAUUCUGUUGUCCUUUGUUAGUAAGUUGGGCGUUUUUCCCAAAUUGGUCUCCAGCCACACCUCUUCUUCAUCACUGCCGAAACAGCUUGUUCAUUUCCUUUUCAGAGGGUUGCAUGUCCAGUCCCAGAGCAUGCGCAUCCCCAAGGCAAGCGUGCUAAAUGUGUUUCAGGUCAUGCUUACACACUUCUUGACAACUGCAUUCCCACUGUAGGCUCCCGUGUGUGCGUACUGUUGUCUCAUGUUGGGAAGGAAGAGUUAGAGAUGAGAUCGCCUCUGUCCACGAGGUUUCUUUCAUACGUCAUAGGAAACAUGGCUUCCUGUGCAGCUACCAUCACCUUCAGCUCAAGUGAGCCAUCAGGACUGUGUGCUGCGGGGAAAGAGAUUUGUCUGCUUGGGGACAGUAUUUAGUGAUAGCCACAGAGUUCGGAGCCUUAAAAGUCGAAGGUAGCAUUACAUUGCUCUGUGUCCUGUGACCCUGCUCAAAGUUUCUGAAUUUCAGAGUCACAAAGGAUUGUUCCUACCCUUUGAUACUGGGCUAUUCCAAAUAAGCUGGUUUACACCUCCCAGAAGGUGCCAGCGAGUUUUACUCCCUGAACCACUCUCACCAGCAACUGACCGCACCACCCAAACUGUCUUCCAAGCAUUAGAUGAAGCCAGCUUUUCAUACCGCCUGCCCCACACGUACUAUUUCCCAGGUUCUCCCUUUUCCUGGACUCCUCCUCCUCCUCAUUCUGCUCCCCCCUGGAGUAAGAAUCUGGGACAGAGGUUACUGGGGAAACAACUCAGCAGAUGUUUAGAGACAAAAAGGCCUCUCUAAGAAACUUAUCUGUUUUAAAACAUUGCUUCCUUCCUGGCUCUGCUAAAUUGAAUGCUCAUUGUUGUUGUUGUUGUUUAAUUCUAAUGUUCAAAUCACUUUGUGCUGUAUGACUCUAGACAGCCUUAAUUUACUACCACCAAGAAAUAAAGCAAUAUGUUGGUAAUCAG